GGCAGAUGGGCUUUGAUCCCAUGAUAGUAUAGUUAACAGCUAUAUGCCCCAACCUUCAGGCUUCUGCCUAAGG
rnacentral:tRNA from 1 species